rnacentral:lncRNA from 1 species
UCACCCUUCACCUUGGGACCUUUCAGAUGCAAAUCAAAGUCAGGCAUGGAGAUCUUGGGGGCUUUGAUGUUCAUCUCUGGCAUCUUGAAUUUAGGGCCCUUCAGUUUCGCAUCUGGACCUUCAAUAUUCACAUCUGGAACAUCAACGUCCACCUUGGGUCCUGAGACGUCAAGGUCAGCCUUGGGCAGGUUCACAUCCACAUCUGGGCCCUCUCCUUUGAAGCCAGGCAUGCUGAACUUGGGCAUUUUCACCUUGGGCAUCUUCAGGUGCCAAUCUGGGCCAUGAACAUCCACAUCUGGAGCACUAAUGUCAACUUUGGGCCCUUUAAUGUCAACAUCUGGCACUUUCAUUUCACCUUC